AAGUUUCUAGUGAUAUGUUUUGAAUUAAAAGAAUUAUUGUGGUACUGAAAUGUAUAUUAGGUUGAGAAAUUUAUUUGAAUUGUGAAAAUGAGAAAUUAUGAAUUAAACGAAAUGGAAAAAAAGCAUUGAAUUACAUGAGUAACAAUUGGGUCUCGUAGGCCCUAUUUGUUAUAAUUAUAAUAUUUUGAGUUAUAAUGUGAAGAUUUAUAAAAGAAUGUUAACAAUUUUGAAAACCUUAAUUCGAAUGAAAUUUUGUAACUCGAUUUAAUAUGUUACAAGUCUAUGUAUUCUAGUAAUGUUUCGUACCCUAUUCCGGUGUCGAAUACGGGUAAGGGGUGUUACAAACAAUCUGGACUUUGACGGAUACACGAAUUCCAACCCAAACACACCAAUACGGCACAUUGUGCGUAAAACGGUACAUAGUACCUGAUCAGGAUACGACACAUAAGUGCCUAAAACGACACACGAGGUGCCUAAUACGGCACAUAAAGUGUCUGAGAUACGACACAUAAAGUGUCUGAUCGACAAAGCCGAUAAAUCCCGUACUCUUCUAAAUCCUAUGGCAUGCCAAUUAUAUCCGACUCAGCCCGACUAGUUAAUAGGGUAUAUAAAUUCAUAAUCUAAUUUUCACUUUUAUUUCAAAAAAUUCAUUUCCAAUAUCAAUUAUACUUUUUCCAUUCACUAAUUAAACACAGUUCAAUAUCAACACAUACUUUUCUCAUUCAAUUUAAUUUUUUUUUCCAAAUUCAAUUCAAUAAGGUCACUUACCUUAUCAUAUGCUUACCAUACACAUAAUUUAAAUUUAAAAUCAAAUAAUAAAUAAUUUGAAUUAUAGUAAUACAAACUCGAAUUUUGCUCGAUUAUUCCUCAAUAACCUUCUCCUUUCCUUUGUGUGUCGAUGCCUCGAGUUCCUUGUUAGCUACGAAAAUAAUAAUAAUUUACACCAUCAAUUACAACAUUAAUUUAUAAUAAUUAUAAAAUUUCUAUCUAAUUUAUACUUUAAUUCCAAUUUAAUCCUAACUAAAUUUAUUUACUUUUCUAAUUUAAUUUACACUCUAUUUCUAUUCAAAUUUCUUCUAAACUCAAAUUUAACUACCAAAUUUUCAGCAUAUUUCAUUAAUUUCGAAUUUUCCUCAAUUUAAUUCCUACAAACAUAAAACUUAUAGCUUACUUCACAAUUUAAUCCUUUUAUCAACUCUAACUAGAAAUUCUAUAAAAUAAAACCUCAAUUCCAUCAUUUAUUCAACAUAAACCCUACUAAAAAAUCUAUUAACUUUCAAAUUUUCAACUUAAAUCCAAGAGUAUUUCACUCUAGGGUUCCAAAAAACAUCAAAUUUAUGAGAAAAAGACUUGAUUUAGCUUACCUAUUAAACUUCAAGCUUCAAAAUCUCAAUUUUCCCUCUUUCUUUUCUUUCCCUUUUUCUUCCCCUGUUUUCGUCUCUUUCUCUGUUUCUUUUCUGUUCUUCUUUUCUUUCUUUUUCUUUUUCUUUUUUGUUUUACUUACUUUAUUUCCUUUAUGCAUUAGUUAAUAAUAA
rnacentral:lncRNA from 1 species